rnacentral:misc_RNA from 1 species
AACGCACAUUGCGCCCGCCAGCACUCUGGCGGGCAUGCCUGUUCGAGCGUCAUUUCAACCCUCAGAACCCCUUUGGGGGAUCUGGCGUUGGGGAUCGGCAGUCCUGCCGGCCCCGAAAUAUAGUGGCGGUCUCUCUGUGACCUUCCCUGUGUAGUAGCGAUACCUCGCAGCGGGAUAGCAGUUUGGCCACGCCGUAAAACACCCAACUUCUCAAGGUUGACCUCGAAUCAGGUAGGAAUACCCGCUGAACUUAA